AUGGCUUCGAACACGAGCUUGCUGGCCGUGAUCAUGGCGUGCACGCUCCUACUCACCGGGCACACGUGCCAGGGCGCACGCCACUUGGCCGACACGACUCCGGCGGCUGCCCCUACCGCUGCUGUACCUAGCCUGCCGGCCGUGCCGACCCUGCCUGCCGUGCCCACGGACACGGUCACCCUGCUGCCACCAAUGCCGGCGGUCACCCUGCCCACCGUGCCACAAGUGACGCUGCCGCCCAUGCCUUCCGUCGUCGUGCCUAAGGCGGUGCUGCCGCCCAUGCCCAAGGUGACGAUGGCGCCGAUGCCCGCUAUUGUCGUACCAAAGGUGACACUGCCGCCAAUGCCGUUUGUCCCGAAUGUGAACGUGCCCAUGCCGUUCCUGGCGCCACCUCCGUCUGUGUAG
rnacentral:rRNA from 1 species